GAAAUCAACUAAAUAAAUAGCACUAAACUGCUUAAUUUCAGAAAUAAACAGAGAGAUCGGUUGGCAACUAUCUGGGCGGAGCUAUAUCUUCCGUCGUCUCCGGCUAUUCUUUCUUCGUCGUAUAUAUGACAACAUCAAGGAGGCUUGCCGACAGGAAGGUGGAGAAAUUUGAGAAGAAUAUCAACAAACGUGGAGCUGUGGCUGAUUCGAGUGCCAAGAAGGGAAACAACUUAGCUGUUGGCCCUGUUUUGAUUGGGUUUUUCAUCUUUGUCGUCAUUGGAUCAUCUCUAUUCCAGAUAAUCAGGACGGCAACCAGUGGAGGAGGCAUGCUUUAACUUUCAUAUGGCUCAACUUAUAGCUUUAAGUUUCUUUAAUCCUUCAUGUGUUUGUUCAUUUCAUCACUUGCCACGCCCAUAUAAUUACUAGUACUAGAAUCGUAUGAAUGACAUCCUUUUGAAUCUUGACAAUGGAUGUGUAACUUUGAAAAUUCAAAUUCUGAUGAAAUGGCAACCAAAUUUGGCAA